CCGUUUAUAAAUUGCAAGAGAUAGUGACUGCAACAAACAUAAUUCUCUCAAAAGAUGGAUUAUACACAAAAAGGGAUAUACAAACUUACAAAGAGAAGAAUCCGUAACUUCGAGAAACAGAUUCCAAAACUCGAUAUGGUGGUCAAAGACCAAAACUAAUAAGUCAUAAGGUUACAGAAACAUCAUCUGUUGUAAGUGUCCCAAUCAAAGUUGGGUUGAGAAUAAGCUUCGUAAUCAACUGGCCCGUCGACGAUGCUAUCGACGGUCUGAAUAUUCCUGAGAAGAGCCGGGUGAUACCGUUCUGUAUCCGAAGGCAAAAGCUUGUACAUCACAAGCAACCCAAGCGUGAAAAUCGCUUGAAGCUUCGUGGAAUCUCCUUUGACAGAGAAGAAAAACAGCAUGGAGACGAUGUACAGGUCGAUGCAGAACCGCAUGAUGCACAAAACCGUGUCCAUCAGCUUCCCUUCGUUCCCUGCAGGGAAGCCGCGGACUCUGUACACGUAUAGGAAGUUGUAUUUGUCGACAAUGUAUCUGUAACCAAAGUAAACCGCGCCUACAGGGACCACGAGUGGAGCGAAUGAAGAGUAUAUCAUUGUCAAGGCAAAGAUGGUGAGGUUGAAGGCAUAGUAUUGUGCAAAGUCGAACUUUUGCUUUGGGAUUGGUGAGGUUCGGCUGAUUGGGUACUCAGCAAGGUCUUGGCUCAUAGGUUCAACGUCGCCGAAUCUUGGAGACUCGAACAUGUUUUCAGGGAGAAGCGGCGUCUCAAGGUUGCUUUGAUUUUCCAAAGGGUACUCUUCGUUUUGCUCGGGGACUAGCUGAAGCAUAUCGUUCUUCCUGAACUUCUGGAUUUUUUUCUUGAUCCAAGGGAUUGGAGCGAGUAGAUCAAAGGAGAUUCCCAAGAACGUGCUUGUGAUGAGGAACGCUAGAGCGGAAACGCAUGACCUUGAUAAGAAGGAAGGGCUCACGUAUUCUUCAAUCCUCUUGCAAUCCUCGCCGUCUAAGUAGCAGCGGCUCAUUUUCAAGAACGCGCUUUCAAGCGACGACUCGACGAGAGCCUUUAGCACGAUGAGGUUCACGAGGAAGAAGCAAACCAUCACAAGAUGUAAAGUGAAGAGAUACUAACUGCUACUAAACCGAAUGUGACACUCUGGAUUCUUAUAUUCGGUUGUUAAGUGCAUAACAUCUCCAUAAGAAAGACACCAUGUAGAGGCAAUUGCUAAUUUUUGUUUCUUCUGACCUCUUAAGAGUCUUAAUCACAUUUAAACAGAAAAAAAAAAUCCCGUUUAUAAAUUGCAAGAGAUAGUGACUGCAACAAACAUAAUUCUCUCAAAAGAUGGAUUAUACACAAAAAGGGAUAUACAAACUUACAAAGAGAAGAAUCCGUAACUUCGAGAAACAGAUUCCAAAACUCGAUAUGGUGGUCAAAGACCAAAACUAAUAAGUCAUAAGGUUACAGAAACAUCAUCUGUUGUAAGUGUCCCAAUCAAAGUUGGGUUGAGAAUAAGCUUCGUAAUCAACUGGCCCGUCGACGAUGCUAUCGACGGUCUGAAUAUUCCUGAGAAGAGCCGGG
rnacentral:lncRNA from 1 species